rnacentral:rRNA from 1 species
GACGAACGCUGGCGGCGUGCUUAACACAUGCAAGUCGUACGGUAAGGCCCUUUCGGGGGUACACGAGUGGCGAACGGGUGAGUAACACGUGAGUAACCUGCCCACAACUUUGGGAUAACGCUAGGAAACUGGUGCUAAUACUGGAUAUGUGCUCCUGCUGCAUGGUGGGGGUUGGAAAGCUCCGGCGGUUGUGGAUGGACUCGCGGCCUAUCAGCUUGUUGGUGGGGUAGUGGCCUACCAAGGCGGCGACGGGUAGCCGGCCUGAGCGGGUGACCGGCCACAUUGGGACUGAGAUACGGCCCAGACUCCUACGGGAGGCAGCAGUGGGGAAUAUUGCACAAUGGGCGCAAGCCUGAUGCAGCAACGCCGCGUGCGGGAUGACGGCCUUCGGGUUGUAAACCGCUUUCAGCAGGGACGAAGCUUUUUGUGACGGUACCUGCAGAAGAAGCACCGGCUAACUACGUG